rnacentral:rRNA from 1 species
UGAGUAACCUGCCCCAGACUCUGGGAUAACUUCGGGAAAUUGGAGCUAAUACCGGAUACGAGACGUACCCGCAUGGGUGGUGUCUGGAAAGAUUUAUUGGUCUGGGAUGGACUCGCGGCCUAUCAGCUUGUUGGUGAGGUAAUGGCUCACCAAGGUGACGACGGGUAGCCGGCCUGAGAGGGCGACCGGCCACACGUGGGACUGAGAUACCGGCCCAGACCUCCGUACGGGGAGGCAG